UGAGUCUUGUAGCGCAGAGCCACCAUGUGUUUUUCCACUGCGCUUGCGUGCGAGAACCGCGGCUUGGCAAAUUGGCUUGGACGAGUUCAUUUUUGCUUUCGGGGUGGGUAAGGAGUGGAAGAAAACUGUCUCAAAACCCUCCUUCAGUUUAAAAGCAAAAUUACACAGGAGACUUUAGAACAGCAUUUCAAGUAAGUUUAUUCGAGGUGAACGAUGUGUACUGAGCGUUCCGCUGCUAGUCUAGCCAAACAGGACCUUGUGACCACCCGUUUGGAGAUGAGACGUUCCACGCCAGCCCCGCCCCUCGACCCUGGAGGCGGAGGUCGUUCCCGACGUGCUCCGCGAAGAGUCCAAAGAUGGCGGCGGCGGCGGUUGCAGCUCGCCGCCUGUCCUUUCGCAGCGGGCUUGUCUUGCUGCAGACCACUCGGGGGACGGGUGUGUGUGAACCGAAGGUCUGUUGCAGAUUUUAUGCUGGAACUGAAUCCCUCCCAAAGGUUGAAGGAUCAGAUAUAACAGGGAUUGAAGAAAUAGUCAUUCCAAAAAAGAAAACAUGGGAUAAAGUGGCUGUUCUUCAGGCACUUGCAUCCACAGUAAACAGGGAUCCUACAGCUGCACCUUAUGUAUUUCACGAUGAUCCUUACCUCAUACCAACCUCUGCUCUGGAGUCUCGUUCAUUUUUAUUGGCAAAGAAGUCUGGAGAGACUGCAGCAAAGUUUAUUAUUAAUUCAUAUCCCAAAUAUUUCCAAAAGGAUAUAGCUGAGCCUCAUAUACCGUGCUUAAUGCCUGAGUACUUUGAGCCUCAGAUUGAAGAUGUAAGCGAAGCUGCCCUGGAGGAGCGAAUCAGACUCAGAAAAGUCAGAGCUUCUGUGGACAUGUUUGACCAGCUCUUGCAAGCAGGAACCACAGUCUCUCUUGAAACAACUAAUAGUCUUUUGGAUUUAUUGUGUUACUAUGGUGACCAAGAGCCCCCAGCUGACUAUCCUUUUCAACAAACUGAACAUUUGGAAAACUUGGAAGAAGCUGCAGAGGAAAAUAAUCAAACAUCCAAGAUGGAGUCUGGUCCUUGGAAAGCACAAAACAAUGCUGAGAGGAUCUUCGCUUUAAUGCCAGAGAAGAAUGCACGCUCCUACUGCACGAUGAUCCGAGGGAUGGUGAAGCACCGAGCUUAUGCACAGGCACUGAACGUGUACACAGAGUUAUUAAAUAACAGACUUAGUGCUGAUGUAUAUACCUUUAAUGCAUUGAUUGAAGCAAAAACAUUCAUACUCAAUGAGAAAUUUGAGGAAAAAUGGAAUGAUAUACUGGAUCUACUGAAACAUAUGGUUGCACAGAAAGUGAAACCAAAUCUGCAGACUUUUAAUACAAUAUUGAAAGGUCUCCGGAAGUGUUACUCACUUGGAAGGAUACCAGCCUUACAGAUACUACGUGAAAUGAAACAUAUUGGAAUAGAACCCUCACUUGCAACAUACCAUCAUAUUAUUCACCUCUUUUAUCCAAGAGAUUUAAGCGCUAUAAAAAUGCCAUCCCUCAUCAUCUAUGAUAUCAUGAAUGAAUUAGAGGGAAGAACAUUUUCUCCACAGGACCUUGAUGAUGGUAGAUUUUUUCAGUUGGCCAUGAGUGUGUGUUCAUCUCUCAGAGAUUUAGAGCUUGCUUACCAAGUACACAGACUUUUAAACACGGGGGACAACCGGAAACUGGUCGGACAUGAUCCUCUACGUAAGGUAUAUUAUUCGAAGUUUUUCAGUUUGAUUUGUUCACUGGAACAAAUUGAUGUCACCUUGAAGUGGUAUAAGGACCUAAUACCUUCAGUGUUCCUUCCCCACUACCAAAUAUUCAUAGGUCUUCUUCAAGCAUUGGAUGUGGCCAAUAGACUAGAAUUGGUUCCUCAGAUUUGGAAAGAUAGUAAAGAAUACAGUCAUACUUUCCGAGAUGCCCUAAGAGAAGAAGUAUUGAUGCUCAUGGCCAGGGAUAAACAUCCACCAGAGAGCCUCUCAGCUUCAGGUUGCAUUUGCUGACUGUGCUGCUGAUAUCAAAUCCACAUACGAAGACCAGAGUGCCCGGCAGCCUGCUUUUGAUUGGCCAGCCAACCCUUUACAGUAUAUAGCUGUCCUUUUUUUAAGAGGUGGCAGAAGCCAGGAAGCCUGGAAAAUGUUGGAACUCUUCAAAAAGCACAAGAAGAUUCCCAGAAAUGAAUUGCUGGAGGAAUUCAUGGACACAGCGAAAGCAUCCGGUAGCACUGCUCUGGCCAUUGAGGUUGUAAAGCUGGCAAGUGCCUUCAGCUUGCCUAUUGGGGAGAGCCUUGCCCAAAGAGUAGUGAUGGAUUUCACAGUUGACCCAGAACAAAAAGAAGCCCUGGGUAACCUCACUGAACUGAACAGUAGCGAUGGAGAAAGCAGCAGUGACAGUGACAGUGACGACAAAUGAGAGAGAGAGGUGGCUCACAAUAGCUGCUGGAAUGUUAGAAGUGGUAAAAAUAAACAGAUACAGGGCUGGGAUCCAAUAUAAGCUCUGUAUUGUAUUGUACUGGCCUAAACCUAAGACCCUGGGGUUCAUCUGCAGUACCGCUAAGAUGCACAUCUGGCCAGUUUUUUGCCAAGACAGCAACAAGCAUUGUGAAGUCUGACUUUUGGAGAAGAACAAAUUCCACAUAAACACACUGUUUGCAGGCCUCAUUCCUACUACGCCCAUCAUGUUAGAACCCACAGGCCCUUGCUGCCUACCUGCUCUGUGAUGUGUGGUCCUUUGGCCUAGAGACAAGGAUUCAAACUGGUUUUCAUGGAGAUGGGUUAUUACUGUUGAGUUGAUCGUAUCCCGUUUUGAGAGUACUUAAAAAGAUGGAUGCUCUUAGAACUAAUUAAAUCAGAAGCAAGCUACUGGUUUAGGCUGCCCAGAUGGUAAAGUCAUUAAAUAAAGCAAUUGUGUUAUUUUUAAAAAUCUAA